GCGGAAGUGGUGGAAUUGGUAGACACGCUAGAUUUAGGUUCUAGUGCAGCAAUGUGUGGGGGUUCAAGUCCCCCCUUCCGCACCA
rnacentral:tRNA from 4 species